CCAAUAGCGUAUAUUAAGGUUGCUGCGGUUAAAAAGCUCGUAGUUGAAUUUCGGGAUUGAUGCAUCAGUCGUGCCUUAAGGGGUAUGAACUGGUGUGGUCAAUUUCUUACCUUCUGGUGAAUUGUGAUGUCCUCCUUAAUUGGGUGUUUCAAUGAACUAGGACUUUUUACUUUGAAAAAAUUAGAGUGUUUAAAGCAGGCAUUAUUUGCUUGAAUACAUUAGCAUGGAAUAAUAAAAUAGGACAAUGAUUCUAUUUUGUUGGUUUCUAGGAUCACUGUAAUGAUUAAUAGGGAUAGUUGGGGGCAUUAGUAUUCAAUUGUCAGAGGUGAAAUUCUUGGAUCAAUUGAAGACUAACUACUGCGAAAGCAUUUGCCAAGGAUAUUUUCAUUAAUCAAGAACGAAAGUUAGGGGAUCGAAGACGAUUAGGUACGUCGUAGUCUUAACCAUAAACUAUGCCGACUAGGAAUCAGACAACGUUAAAUUUUUAAUGACUUGUUUGGCACCUUACG
rnacentral:rRNA from 1 species